rnacentral:rRNA from 1 species
UACGUAGGGUGCAAGCGUUAAUCGGAAUUACUGGGCGUAAAGCGUGCGCAGGCGGUUUUGUAAGUCUGACGUGAAAUCCCCGGGCUCAACCUGGGAAUUGCGUUGGAGACUGCAAGGCUGGAGUCUGGCAGAGGGGGGUAGAAUUCCACGUGUAGCAGUGAAAUGCGUAGAUAUGUGGAGGAACACCGAUGGCGAAGGCAGCCCCCC